CGAUUAUAUAAAAGUAAAUGCGCCACAGUCGGCGGACGCGCGAAGCAGGAUGUUGAAUAUCACUUUACAUUUUUCAAAACACUAAACCCGACAGAUUUGUUUACGAAUUUCUUUGUAAUAACCGCUCGCUUGACCCUAUAGACCAGCGGGGUCAAGCGAGCGGAAAAAUUGCUCCCAAUUAGUGGUUUUGAAACGACUCAAGGUAUGUGGCACUCAUACAGGAAAUGACAUAAACGGGUCAAAACUAACAAUAUGUCGCAGGGCGGACGCACUGAACCUGCUCUGUACCGGAUGCUUCGAGACAGGUUUCUAUAGUUUUGGGAGGUGGAUGCUGAGGACCUGAGCUGAGUGCGCGCUUCUCAUCCAUCACUGUCAUCCUCUGCAAGUUCAGCGCAGACGACACACUUUCACUGUGACGCCGAGCCGGUGGGCUGUGGCUGUCGCAGGUGCAGCUGCUGUCUGGGGCAGAGAGAGGAGACAAACACCACAGACAGUGAAUGCUGGAGUGUUGACAGACAGAACAGUAUAGAGAUGACAGGAAACCAGGAUUCAAACAGAAAUCAAGGUGCCGCUCUGCAGCUCUGGAUCCCUACGUCAGGUCCUGAUUGCAAGUUACUGGGCCGGGGAUAUCAAGUGCGAGAGGAGAAAUGUGAAAUUCCAGAUAAAACCCGGAGCCUUAAGGAGCCAUGAAGUGCAUGUAAUGAGGAAAGUGAUGGGGUAUGGGUGUGCUGAGC
rnacentral:lncRNA from 1 species